rnacentral:rRNA from 1 species
ACACGCAUGACACACUGCAUAUCAAUAAGCGAGGAAAAGAAACUAACAAGGAUUCCCUUAGUAACGGCGAGUGAAGCGGGAAGAGCUCAAACUUUGAAAUCUUCAAGGGUUCUACCUUGACGAAUUGUAGUUUAUAAGAAGUGUUUUCUGUUAGUAGAGGUGGCUAAAAGUUCUUUGGAAUAGGACAUCAUAGAGGGUGAGAAUCCCGUAUUUGGUCAUUCCUCCUAGCGUUGUGAUACACUUUCAACGAGUCGGAUUGUUUGGGAAUGCAGUCCAAAAUGGGUGGUAAAUUUCAUCUAAAGCUAAAUAUUGGCGAGAGACCGAUAGCGAACAAGUACCGUGAGGGAAAGAUGAAAAGAACUUUGAAAAGAGAGUUAAACAGUACGUGAAAUUGUCAAAAGGGAAGCGUUUGACACCAGUGUUGUUUUUCCGAAAAUCAAUUACGAAUGUUUUGUUUUUGAGGAGUUAUGACUUCAUCGGCUUGCUCCUUUCUUUAUGAAACCUUCUUAAUGCACUUUUCGGUUAACAAGUCAACAUCAAUUUCUUUUGUUGUAAAAGGGUAUGAGGAAGGUGGCUUUCUUUUCGGAGAAAGUGUUUAUAGCCUUGUGCCUCUGCAAUCGGAGAGAUUGAGGUCUGCAGCGUAGAUCCUUCGGGGUUAGAUACGUUUGUGCUAAGUUAUAGCUUUUCAUAGACAACUUGUUGACUAUGUUUAGUCUUGUAGCUUACUCGCUUAUGCUAUUUUACCUACGCUUAGGAUGUUGACUGAUAUGUAGUCGUA